CUAAUACUCCCUUCGUCCAAAAAUACUUGUCAUCAAAAUGGAUAAAGGAACAUGUGUCUAGAACUAAAUACAUCUAGAUACAUCUCCUUUUAUCCAUUUUGAUGACAAGUAUUUUCGGAUGGAGGGAGUAACAA
rfam:Triticum urartu cultivar G1812 contig82555, whole genome shotgun sequence.